GGAACGGUCUGGAAAGUCCGACGGUACAGGGUGAUAGUCCCGUACACCAAAAUGCACAGGCUGUGAACUCGAAGAGUAGGGCGGGACACGUGGUAUCCUGUCUGAAUAUGGGGGGACCAUCCUCCAAGGCUAAAUACUCCUGACUGACCGAUAGUGAACCAGUACCGUGAGGGAAAGGCGAAAAGAACCCCGGCGAGGGGAGUGAAAAAGAACCUGAAACCGUGUACGUACAAGCAGUGGGAGCACCUUCGGGUGUGACUGCGUACCUUUUGUAUAAUGGGUCAGCGACUUAUAUUCUGUAGCAAGGUUAACCGUAUAGGGGAGCCGCAGGGAAACCGAGUCUUAACUGGGCGUUAAGUUGCAGGGUAUAGACCCGAAACCCGGUGAUCUAGCCAUGGGCAGGUUGAAGGUUGGGUAACACUAACUGGAGGACCGAACCGACUAAUGUUGAAAAAUUAGCGGAUGACUUGUGGCUGGGGGUGAAAGGCCAAUCAAACCGGGAGAUAGCUGGUUCUCCCCGAAAGCU
rnacentral:rRNA from 1 species